ACUGUUGUAAGGGAAGAACGUUAUUAGUAGGAAAUGGCUAAUAAGUGACGGUACCGUUACCAGAAAGGGACGGCUAACUACGUGCCAGCAGCCGCGGUAAUACGUAGGUCCCGAGCGUUAUCCGGAAUUAUUGGGCGUAAAGGGCACGUAGGCGGACAAAUAAGUUUGAUGUCAAAUAUGAUGGCUCAACCAUCAAGAGGCGUUGAAAACUGUUUAUCUAGAAUCUCGGAGAGGUAAGUGGAAUUCCAUGUGUAGCGGUGGAAUGCGUAGAUAUAUGGAGGAACACCAAUGGCGAAGGCAGCUUACUGGACGAAGAUUGACGCUGAGGUGCGAAAGCGUGGGUAGCAAACAGGAUUAGAUACCCUGGUAG
rnacentral:rRNA from 1 species